rnacentral:lncRNA from 1 species
AAGCCCAUGGAGAUUUAAUAGGCUAAAAAAAUUAUUACAAGCCCAAUUAUAAUUAUCAUCAUCUCUAUUUAAUAAGUUAAACCUUAUACAAUACUAUAAAUUAAAUCUUCCUUCAUUACGUAUCUCCUUCUCUUUCUUCAUUCCCUACCGCUUCUCUCUGUCUCUCUCUUUCCCGGCGAGCGUCGCCGGCCUCGCCGCCUCCGGCGCGGCGAGGUCGGCCUCUUCUCUUUCACCUUCUUUCUUUCUUUCUUUCUUUCCCUUUUCCUGAAUCUGAAAUAGAUCUAGGGUUUUCUUUAUUUCCUGAAUUUGAAUAGAUCUAGGGUUUCUACCUCUCUUCCUCCCCUCUCGGAAUUCGUCUCUCCGGUCGAGGUUUGCCUCCACCGCCGUCGUCUUUGUCGUGCCGCCGCCUCCUCUGUUUCAGGUAAGCCUCCCCAUCUCUCUCUCUCAUUUUCUUUCUUCCUUUCUCUGCUCCUCUCUCGAUCUCCCUCUAUCUCGAUCUCUCUCUCCUUUCUGGUCGGGCCGCGGCGGCCGCUGCGAGCCGCGACGGCGCAUGCAGCGCCGGGGGUCGCCGCCGCCCUGCUCUCCCCUCUCUCCCUCCAUCUCGUUCUAACCGUCUCUUUUUAUUUCACUCUCUAUCUCCCUGGUUUAAUCUCCCUCUCUAUCUUUCUCGCUCAACCUCUCUCUGCUGUCAGUAGCCACCACGGCCGCCGUGGCGCCGGUGGCCACCGCCGCCAGCCAUGCCUCCGCUGUGGUGGCUCGCGGCUGCUGCUGCUACUACUAAUUCCCAAUUCAAAAUCUCAUUCCAGCAAACUUCCAAUCUAAUUUUUUUAUUUCAAUUUUAACAUUACAAAAUAAUAGAUCUCAAACUAUUUUCUGUUCCAGGAAUCGUGAUUCAAGAUGAGUUGAGAUGGUUUCAUCGGCAGUUCAUCUACAGCCCAAGACUCCCUUUUUAAAGACUCAGCCUUCUAUUUGGAUUAUUAUUGAUUUUUAAAGACUCAGCCUUCUAUUUGGAUUAUUAUUGAUUUAUAAACUGUUGUAACUAGAUGUAUUCUGUAAAUGUUAAAGGAAAUUGAUAUUAUCUCUGCUAUUUUUGAUUACUACCUACGAGUGAAUCAUUGAGUUGUAGGAAGAAUACUACCUGCUUGUUUGCUGACUGCUGGGGAUGAUUUUUGCUUUUGGAUGGAUAUUUACUUUACUGUUUGGAGUUUGCAGAAUGGGGAAAAAAAAUGAGAUUUAUGGUAACUCAUCGUAUUUAUACUCGUUUGAGUCGGUUUGAUGGAUUUAGCUGGGUGUAAAAUUGAGAGCUGAGUGUAAAGUUGGAAGAUACGUGUAGUAUCAUGCUCUACGUGUUCUUUCACAAAAAUCUUGUUUCUUCACAGGAUAAAUGCAGC